CACAAUUUAAGGUAGGUGCCGUAGGGGUGUCAAAACCGAUAAAAUUUAAUGGGUCAACCAAACCAAUCAAAACUAUGGAUUUUAAUAGAUAGAAUAAUUGGGUACAUAUGUGUUGAUGGAUUAAAUGGGUUAAUGGACUCAGUGGAUUAGGUUAAAAUGGUUUAGAUUGUAAUGGAUAAUGAGUUAUCCAUAACCAAACCAAUAAAAAUUUAUAACAAACAAAAACUCAAAUCAAAUAUAUAAACAAAAAAUAACCAAACCAAAUUUCUAAACCAAUUUUACUACACCAAAUUCUAUUUAUUUUUUCAUAUAUAUAACUAAAUUUUAAUAAACUAAAGAGAAAUUUUCUAGGAUAGACCUAAAAAAGUUUUUAUCAUAAAUAUAAACUUUAAAAACAAAAAUGACCAAAAUAGACUUAAAUAUUUUAUUAAAAGAAGUAAAUAUACACUUAUACCCCUAGGGUUAAUUAAUCCAGACAUUAGGGUUUAGAGUUAAGGGGUGAGGUUUAGGGUUUAGGAUUUAGGGUUUAGGGUUUACAGUUGAGGAGUGGGGUUUUGGGGAUAGGAUUUCAAAUUUUAAAAAAUAAAAAAGAAAUUAAAAAUUUAAAAUAAAAAAUAAAAAAUGUAAUUUUAGUCAUUUUAGUUUUUGAUGUCUAUUUUUGUGACAUAAACCUCUAUCUAAGAGAAUUACCCCGAACUAAAUCUAACCCAAUUAUUCAGUAUCUUAUACAAUAAAUGAGGCUUUUUUCUCUCCAUAGGGCAUAGGGCGUUUGAUGACACAUGGCAUCUAAUACUUAUACGUUGUGUUUCGUUUUAAUGAUUUCGGUUGGACUUUUAGAUUCCAGGCCCAGUAAUGAUGUUUGUCCCUUCGUCACUUUGCUGACGACGAAACUUCCGGAAAUUGUGAUCGACGAAUGUCUUUACGUUCCCUUCUCCAUAACGGCGCAUUAAUUCCUAUUUUGCGCCCAGCUUCUGCGUAAUUAACCUACUCUUCCACUCUGCAUCAUUCAAUCGAUUUCAUAGCAUCCCCAAAAUAACCGACUCAAGCUUCGACUAUAAAUAUCCUCAAUUUGAGCCAUGAACAGCACAGCUUCGAUGAGAUUAAUAAGAAUAGUCUAUUCUACUUACGGAUUACUGCGAUGGCGAAUUCCUUUAUCCUCCUUGCCGAUUUGAAAGAUAGGCGCUGCUCCAACAUUGCAGAGGUUCAUUUGCUGAGGUUUUGGGAGGCGAGAUGGGUCAUGUGCGAAGAGAUAUUGUGAUACCUUAGCGUUGUACCCGGUAACUAUGAUCCGACAGAUUGCUGCAGGUGGUACUCACUCUAUAGUUUGAUACGCGAAGGUUAUGUGUGGACUUGGGGUCAUCCGUGACCUCCCCAUGACAUUGUAUAGAUUAAAAUUAAAACUCACAAAAAGGCAUUUGGUGCAUUAUUUGGCUACUACUUGAAUGUUCGAUUUUGGUUUCCUCUCUACUGAAGAAAACAAAUAUUUGUUCCAGUGUUCAAGGUCCUCUGUCGGAGCAUUUUGUAAUGUGGCUCUUGAAUAAGAUGGGAGGCUCUUCGCACGACCCCUCAUCAUGUCCAAGUCCAAGGCCUCGAUGAUCUCACUUUGAUUUGUUUCUUUCUCUUCCUUUUAUUGAUUCAUUUUCUACUCACUAAAACCUUCAAAAGGGGACUCUGUUGUCAACUUAUCUCUCUUUAAACUCAUUUUUAGGUUGAUAUUGAUGCGGGUGGCUUGCAUUCAACUUCUUUAACUGCUAGGUGGACGGUUGCGGAAGAGAGAACACGGAAGACUCGGGUUAGGUGACAAUGACAAGAUCAGCAAAAUAGUUCCACAGAGAGUUAAUCUUCUCUCUGACAAAAAUAUCCUGCAUGUUUUUUUUUUUUUUUUUUUUUUUUUUUGUUAAACUGCA